AUUGAACGCUGGCGGCAGGCUUAACACAUGCAAGUCGAACGAGUGGCGGACGGGUGAGUAAUGCUUGGGAAUCUAGCUUAUGGGGGGGGAUAACUACGGGAAACUGUAGCUAAUACCGCGUACCAUAGGAUGAGCCCAAGUGGGAUUAGGUAGUUGGUGAGGUAAAGGCUCACCAAGGCGACGAUCUCUAGCUGGUCUGAGAGGAUUACCAGCCAAACUGGGACUGAGACACGGCCCAGACUCCUUCGGGAGGCAGCAGUGGGGAAUAUUGCGCAAUGGGGGCAACCUGACGCAGCCAUGCCGCGUGAAUGAUGACGGCCUUCGGGUUGUAAAGCUCUGUUAAUCGGGAGACGGUACCGGAAUAGAAAGCCACGGCUAACUACGUGCCAGCCGCCGCGGUAAUUC
rnacentral:rRNA from 1 species